rnacentral:tRNA from 1 species
GCGGCGGUGGCGAAAUUGGUAGACGCGCUGGUCUUAGGAGCCAGUGUCUUUCGACGUGCGGGUUCAAGUCCCGCCCGCCGCA